UGAGAGCCAGUGUGGUGUAGUGGUUAAGAGCGGUAGUCACGUAAUCUGGUGAACCGGGUUCGUGUCUCCGCUCCUCCACCUGCAGCUGCUGGGUGACCUUGGGCCAGUCACACUUCUCUGAAGUCUCUCAGCCCCACUCACCUCACAGAGUGUUUGUUGUGGGGGAGGAAGGGAAAGGAGAUUGUUAGCCGCUUUGAGACUCCUGAAGGGGAGUGAAAGGCGGGAUAUCAAAUCCAAUCUCUUCUUCUU